UCUAUAUCAGUAAGCAGGGACAGAGAAUAAUAGCACAAGGCGUAAAGCUAGAAGGACUUGUCUCUCUGUCUCUCUCAGUCAUCUGGAUCCACCUGUCCACAGUCAGAGCCUCUCAGAAGAUUUGCUGCUGGUUGGGGAAUUCGUGGCUGAACGAUGCGUCAGGGGUUGUCAUAUAAAAUGUCCCUCGGCGCUGCUGCAUUGACACGUGAAAGUCUAUGAAACAGCAAUCAAGACAUCAGUAGCACAGGGGCCAGAGCCAAGUGAACCCAGUCCCAGAGAUCGGGACCCAGAGAUGGCCCGUGAAAUGAGUUGGAGUUGGAAAAUCACCGGGGGGGAUAUUCCACGCCUCGCUGCCAAUUUCACUAUCAUAAUCAACCUCAGCUUGUAGAAUGAUAUUAUAGGGCCAACUAUUUUCGCUGACACUCUAACUGUGCAUAGAUUUUUGUGGUGCAGAAGAUAAGAGGGCAGAUAAGAAAUAUGCGGGGGCUGAAUUGUAGAUGAAAAGGGAAGUGCUAUGUUUUUGUUAAUCUGAUCUUAAAUGUUUUUGUGUCAAUUUUUAAAUUAGCUUUACGAGACUGAA